rnacentral:lncRNA from 1 species
CCAAGAGCACGUUCAAAUGCCUUGCCGAGGAGUCCAAUUACACGUGGAGCAGCUGCAAUUACAAUACGGUGAGAUCAGGCCAUUGCAUAUAUAUCUCAAAACAUAUAUCUCAAAUCGUUUAUAGAUACUUCGUUCCAAGGUACAAAUGAAUGGAACUAGGAUGUAACAUGACAUAUAGGAGCAAGCACUUGAAAAGAUGUAGCAGGUCUGGAAAGAAACAAAGCUGAACUGAAAUGAAGCAAGAAAAAAUUCAGAAUUUUUUUCACAGAACAGAUCAAAAAGAUUCAAAUAAGCACAAAUUUCAGGUAGCUUGUUACUGCUCUUGAGAAACAACACCCUGACCAGGAUUGGGAGUGCUCGUGAUGGGAAUUGAUUUGAACCAGAUUGCUUUCAAAUUUUUAGAAAUAGACCAUUCCAUUUUCAAAUGUAUGCAUGCCUAGAAGUGUCAUGUUAAGUUCAUUACUAAAAUAUUUCUAUCAGCAGCAGUGCAAGCAGUUAGCAAUAAUCGAUCUGGUGCAGCUCGAUCUAGACUGUUGGCUGAUACAUAUAUACCAACAAUUUUAGAGAAAAUUGGUACACGGCACUGUAUAUAUUAGCAAUCAAAUGCAGGCAACAUCGAUCACAUAGGGUUCCAUCUAAUAAAAAAACAAGCAACCAGUGGCAGGCGUAUAAGAAGCAGAGUAUAUAUGUGCAAUCAAAUGAAGAAAUGAAGAAGAGUAUAUAUGUGCAACCAAGUGGCAGGCGUAUAAGAAGCAGAGUAUAUACAAGCAACCAGUUGGCCAUCGCUUGCAGGAGGCAGCCACCUGACCGGAGGCAAGCAAGUGCCAGGCGU